CCUACGGGCGGCAGCAGUCGAGAAUCAUUCACAAUGGGGGAAACCCUGAUGGUGCGACGCCGCGUGGGGGAAUGAAGGUCUUCGGAUCGUAAACCUCUGUCAGCAGGGAAGAACGGUCACUGUGCUAAUCAGCAGUGAAUUAACGGUACCUGCAAAGGAAGCACCGGCUAACUCCGUGCCAGCAGCCACGGUAAUACGGAGGGUGCGAGCGUUAAUCGGAAUUACUGGGCGUAACGCGCUCGUAGGCGGUAUGUAAAGUCAAGGGGGAAAUCCGCGCGCUCAACGGGGGAACUGCCUUUGAAACUGGCAAACUGGAGUGUGUGAGAGGAUGGUGGAAGUCGAGGUGUAGGAGUGAAAUGCGUAGAUAUCUGGAGGAACAUCAGUGGCGAAGGCGACUAUCUGGCACAUAACUGACGCUGAGGAGCGAAAGCGUGGGUAGCAAACAGGAUUAGAUACCCGGGUAGUC
rnacentral:rRNA from 1 species